CGAGUAGGCGGUCUUGUCGGUCAGAUGUGAAAGCCCAGGGCUCAACCCUGGACGUGCAUUUGAAACAGCAAGACUUGAGUACGGGAGAGGAAAGCGGAAUUCCUGGUGUAGAGGUGAAAUUCGUAGAUAUCAGGAGGAACACCGAUGGCGAAGGCAGCUUUCUGGACCGAUACUGACGCUGAGGCGCGAAGGCGUGGGUAGCGAACAGGAUUAGAUACCCUGGUAGUCC
rnacentral:rRNA from 1 species